UGGGGAUGACGUCAAGUCCUCAUUGGCCCUUAUGGGUAGGGCUUCACACGUCAUACAAUGGUCGGUACAGAGGGUUGCCAACCCGCGAGGGGGAGCUAAUCCCACAAAGCCGAUCGUAGUCCGGAUCGCAGUCUGCAACUCGACUGCGUGAAGUCGGAAUCGCUAGUAAUCGUGGAUCAGCAUGUCACGGUGAAUACGUUCCCGGGUCUU
rnacentral:rRNA from 1 species